rnacentral:rRNA from 1 species
GAGUUUGAUCAUGGCUCAGAUUGAACGCCGGCGGCAUGCCUUACACAUGCAAGUCGAACGGCAGCAUGAUCUAGCUUGCUAGAUUGAUGGCGAGUGGCGAACGGGUGAGUAAUACAUCGGAACGUGCCCUGUAGUGGGGGAUAACUAGUCGAAAGAUUAGCUAAUACCGCAUACGACCUGAGGGUGAAAGUGGGGGACCGCAAGGCCUCAUGCUAUAGGAGCGGCCGAUGUCUGAUUAGCUAGUUGGUGGGGUAAAGGCCCACCAAGGCGACGAUCAGUAGCUGGUCUGAGAGGACGAUCAGCCACACUGGGACUGAGACACGGCCCAGACUCCUACGGGAGGCAGCAGUGGGGAAUUUUGGACAAUGGGCGAAGCCUGAUCCAGCAAUGCCGCGUGUGUG